rnacentral:lncRNA from 1 species
UAAUAUAAUUAAAACUUGUCAUUUUGUUCCCUUAACGACAUAUUCUGUAUCACAGAAAUUUUUUGACAUGUUUAAAAUCACACGUGUCGUAAUGUUUGCCCAGUAAAAAAAAAAGGUAGUGCUGUUACAGAGACAGCGAUUUAGCUUCAUUGCAAACCGUAGUGCUUCUAUAGGAAGUAAUUCCUAGCGCGUCUGCCUUGAAAGCUAAGUCAAACAAAGGAGAAACAGUAAAAUGUAUUAUAUUAUCAUGCAUCCUAUAUCCAUAUUGUUUUGCAAGUUGAUCCGCCACCUCAUUUUGUUUCUUGUAGUUGCGUUCAUUCAAAGGUUCUCUUAGUUGGUUCAGCAAUGACCUGCAACCAUGAACAAUGUCAGAACAAUGUAAGUUAUUGUCGCGGAGGAACAAUGUAAGAGAGAUACUUGGGAGCAUCGACUCUUUUAUGGAUGAUAGGGCAACAAAAACCUUUUGUUCAUUUGACUGUAUGUUUGCACUAACAUUAAUAGAGGAAGGUAUCAAAUAUUAUAAACUUCAGUACGAAGGUAGUGCUGGGUGCCACAUUUACAAUUUGAAAAAAAGCAAAGAAAAAGUGUUUCCUUGAUUCUUCCUACAAGGAUUCUAAAACUUAAAACUUCUAAACAGCAUUCGAACUAUUUGCAAGAUUUUCGUUACACCCAAAACAGAAAAAGAAAAUAUCAUUCAUCCAUCCCCCAAUUUAAUACGAACUUCUGCUUUGAAAGGUCAAUAGACCUAUGACUGUUCUCCAUACCUCCAUAAUUAUUUCAUUUUUCAUUUAGUGAACUUGAAUUAUGUUUGCUUUAAGUUUUUUAUGCCCAAGCCCCCUUCCAUUUCACUAGAUUAAAACACCUCUUAUCUCUAUCUCCUUGCCAUAUAAAGUUCCUUAUUAAAGCAUCAGUCUUCUUUUCAAUUUUUACUGGUAUAUUUGGCAGAUAGCUUGAUUAGUUAACAAUGUACUUGACUCAUUAACCAUCAAUAUUUCAUGUUGCAUCCAUUAUCUAUCUACCACAAAUAAAAGUGAUUUGAUGAGUGUCUUAUCAGUUUGUCCACCAUUUUUUUGAGUCUCUAGAUACCAGCUUAGAGUACCAGAAAUUAUGCCCUAAAGGACAUGUGUGGGAGCUGUCAUUAGCGUGAAAAUAGUCGUAGGAAUUGUUUCCCACAACAAUGAGUUUACACCAAGGAGAACGAAACGAGCCCCUACGUGUUUACCCUAGUCUAGACAAGUUAGCAAAUACAGUACAAGAUGAAGUCCCAUGAUGUAUGCUAUUUGCUAAUGAUUUGUGUUAAUUGACAAAUCUAGCAAGGGUGUCAACCAAAAGCUUGACUUAUGGAGAAAAACGUUAGAAAGUAAGGGUUUUGGGAUAAGUAGAAGUAACAGAAUGAAAUUACAAAUGAAGGUGUUACUCGUUAAAAUCAGAUGGUUGAAAUGAAGAAGUGCUAUCAAGUGAAAUGUGAUAGAAGGAUGCCUACCAAAUUGAAAGUUAAAAAGUAUAUAGAACAACUAUAAGACUUACAAUGUUAUAUGGUGGUUGAAUGUUGGGUCGCUAAAGAUACAAUCCAAGUUCACUUGAGAUGGUUUGAACAUGUUUUACAAAUGCACUAAUUCGUUGGUGUGAAACAAUAGUAAGUGAAAGUGUUGAAAAGAGAUGGGCAAAUCUAAAAUGACAUGGAAGAAAGUCUCGAAAGACCUAUAAAUGCAUGGUGUUAAUGCAGACUUAGCUAACAAUUAGGCAUAAUAGAAGAAAAAGAUCUAUAGAGGUGAUAAGCUACUAGUUGAGAAUAGAUUUUAGACUUGUUAGAUAAAUUCUAAUAUUAUUAUUAUUAUUAUCAUUAUAUAUCCAUAAACAGCCUCUUAGGGAACUUUCACAAAAAUAAAUUAUUGCAUGUACCCAACAUCCCAAAACAGGGGUAACCCAAUACUGUCCUCCAGUUGUACUGAAAGAAGUCUGAAAUAGCAAAUCACCCAAGAAAUUUGCUGCUCCAACCGUUUCGUGCAGCAAUCUUGAUUGCCAGCAUGUCCAUUCUUGUCUAAACAUAUUUGCUCUAUCAUCAUCUCAUGAAGCAUUUCUCAUUUAGUCAUUACCUACUGAUGGCUAACAACUUGCUAUUGUUGACGUGUCAUUGUUGUUGUUAGGAUUAUUUUAUCUAGUACCAUUCUACAACUAAACAAUUGUUUUUAACUUUAUGGGAGAAGAGAGAGGGCAAGAAAAGUUUGACCCAAGAAAUUGGAUGCCUCUUUGGUUUUUAUCAUAUUCAAUAAUCGGAUCCCAAUACUAACCUUAUUUACCCCAACCACCUACUGCUAGUUCCUUAACUCGCAGCAAGCGUUAUGCAUCUUUUCUCUAGUAUGCAUUUAUGUUAUACUAGUCAUGUUUAAGAAAUUCUCUUCUUUAUCUGUUUUUUUUUUUUUUUGAGUGAGGUGGGUAGGUUGAAGGUAUUCCAAGGAGUCUUAUUUUGAAAACUAAGACGGGUCAACAGAAUGGAGUUUGGAUAAACAAUACGAUUUAGUAAGGGAAAACUUGAACAUUGGACCAUAAUGCAUGGCUACAUGCAUUUGGGUUUUCAUCCUGAAAUAUCCCCUUGUUAUUCUUUGUCUGAAGUCAGGUUGUAUGUUUCAACAUUCAAUAACUAGUAUAGAAUUGAGAAGCAACAUAGACAAUGCCUACAGAAAUAACGUGUGAUGAAGAUAACACACUUAGAUAUAUUCAUUAGAGCAUGUUCACCAUAUCUCUCUUGUUUUGCUUUAAUAUUAAGCAUGAAGGCAACAGCCACAACUAAUGAGUAUUUCAUACCUUGAUGAUUGGUACAUGAAAGUAGAGUAAAAGGAGCAAAACAGACUUCAGUGACAUACCUUAAAGACAGUACCAUUCACUUUGUAAAGGUUUUGUGCGCUAUCACUCCCAAGUCCAUUCAACUGACAAACACAGAAAAAGGAAUCAAAUACCAGAAUUGCAGCCAUCAGAUUAAUAAGAGGCUGCAAAAGAUAUUACCUGCGUUGUUCAAUUUAUGUCCUUUCUUAUAAGUAGAUAAUAAAGACACUUCUGAAUAUAUUUACUUUGACAGCAUGAAGUCGGUGAUUGAAAGAUACAACAAAACAAAGGAGGAGAAUCAUCAAUUGGCAACUCCAACUUCUGAGGUUAGGGUAAGUUUCACUGGUUAAUUUGCAGUCAACUAAUCAAAGAAAAAUAUGCAUAGCUAAGCUUUCUAUCAUAACCACUUCAUGUCGUUGGACAUAAUCUAGGCAAUAUCAAGGGACUUGUUGAGUAAUUGAGGCAUAGAAUUAACAACCUAAAAUCUCAGGUUCAAGGCCUUCUAUAACACAUAAUAUACACAUAUCUACUCAACCAUGGUGAGCUGAUUUCUGGACAUCUGUAAGGUAGGCUGCAGCAAGCUUUUUGGUGAGAUAGUCAAGGUGCGAGCAAAUUGAUCCAGACACCACUAUAAUAAGUAAAAAUUCUGUUCAAAGUUAACAGAAUAAUUAAAUGGUAGAGAAUAUUUUUAGUGAUUAUAUUAUAGAUGAAAGUUAAGAGGAUCAUUAAGAAUUAUAUGGAAAAUAUUCUUAGUGAUUAUAUGAUAAAUAUAGGAAACCAUAGAAACAAAAAGACUUCCCUCAUACAAGCAGCCCUCUUGAUAUUACCAACCAGUGCCAACAAGAAUAUCUUUUCAUCUUCUUCUCCUACUUAUUGGGCGUAUUAGGCUUCUAGGAAAUUUGUAGAAACCUAAGUGAAUAUAUAUUUGGAGAUUUUAUUACUCAUCUCUUUCUGAUUGAUCAUUCUAGGAAGUACCAUUCUUACUUCCAGCGAUCAUUUAGGCAGCACUAUGCUUUUUCAGGAGCCAUAACUCUUUCCAGAGAACAUUUGAGGCACCACACUGAUGUAUUUCAGGCAACCAUCUAUUCCUAGAGAUUUGUGUCACCAUAUCACUUCUCCCUAAAUUAGAAAAAAACAUUUCCCUAUGGGCUGUAAGGACACUUCUUUGGCUACAUCGACAACAGUCUGUGAGAAAGAAUAAGACCUUUUACGGCGAAUGUCACUAUUCCAGCAACUCAUUUCAGAUGACUGUCAAUUAUUCUGGUGAGUUCUAAUACAGUGCAAGGUGGCAUGUAAUCCUAACAUUGUUUUUGAUAAGUAGAAUUUAUUCAUAGAAACAGCAACAAUCAAGUAUUAAACCUGUAACAGAAGUUUGACUCAACUCCUAUCCAAGAUACAAGGAGUCUAUAUGAAGUCCAAAAGUGUUAUCAAGAUAAUUUUUACUGAGAAUUAUUCUAAAGGUUUAUACUAUAGUCUAGAGAACUAUUAAUUACUAUGUCAAAAUUGAAAUCCUCAAUGAGUAUGGUUCCUUAGUCCAUAGAAACUCCUAAGAGUCUAGUGUUUUCCUAACAAUAAAAGCUUAGUUAGGGUUCCUUACAUGAAUUAUGGUGUACUUCUGUGUAUACGACUUUGUGAAAAGGAUUUAAAAGAUAUUAGCACCUAUGAUGAAGGGAAAUAGAAUUUCGGAAACAGCCGUUCUACCUCUGGGCUCGGAGGUAGAGGUCAGGGCUGUGUUCACUCUACCCUCCCCAGAUCCCACUCCGUGGGACUAUAUUGGGUAUGCUGUUGAUGUUGUUGGAAUGUCAGUCAUAGGGUGGAGAAUCUUAUAAUAAGAGGGCUAGUGACUAGUCAAGUCAAAAACCUAGUUUGAUCUACAUGACUGGUUAUAUGGGUAGCCGAAUGGUAAUAAAAUAUUAACUAUAAAGGAAAACAACAAAAACGCUAGAAAGAGUCAAAAUGAAUAUUGAUAAUAUAUCUGUGAAUUUACACUAUUCCGAUUUAAUUAAUUCUAUUUAUACCAUGUGAGUCCUCCAGUUUUACCACUUCUAAGUUUCUAUGUGAUCUGGUUAGAUUGCAUGAGCCUGGUCCUAAGUUUGUAGUAUCCUACCACUCAGAUUGCUAUUUUGACAGUUUAGGAAAAGAAUAAAAUGCACAUUAAAGUACGUUGCUUUUGUUCUCACCAGAAAAGUGGAAAGAGAAAAAUGAAUUUUCAUCCCUUGAUAAAUCAGAUAACUUAUCCACCUUCACUUCCUUGGCUCAUUUGGUACAACGAUUCCUCAUUGCCCUGCCUUUCUGCCAUACUCAACACUUGUCUGUCCAAAUGGUCGGUCUAGCCAUAUGUUGGGUCAAAACUGAAAAUAGAAGAAGUGAGGGAAUGAUCUUAAAGGUUUCAUAUUAUCACCAACUCUACUGGAAAGGUCAAACUGUGUUUCCAAGGGAAAUAGAAUUAGGAGACGGAAGCAGGGUAACAGGGACAAAAGCGAAGAGACAAAACAGAAUCCUGCAAGAAGCAAAAGAUUCUUAUAGUUAACAGUUAGUUGUACAGCUGAAGAUGCUGGAAUGGAGGCUAAAGUUUGAAAACCAAUAUUUAAGAUGGAAGGAAGAUGCUUUAUGAGAAAAUAGAAACAUUCAUCCAAACUGGUGUCUUAUAAACCACGGGCAAUCCAAUACAUUGACAGAGAACAGGAGCUAAGUAUUCCAUUAUUACUGAUCUGGCAUGAAAUGCUAUCCAUUGAAAAUGUAACAAAACUUCACCUUUUCAAGAUUUAACUGGAGAGACGUCACAUAAGAAUAGAUCAGGGACUAUGGCUUUAAUUUGUCUAGCAAUCACAGCAUAGCUCAAGAUAGAACUGUCUUAUAGUUCACACUACACAAUUACUUUGAAGCAUUUUGUAUCAUAUCAAGCAAAAACAUCUUCAGCUAAACAAUUUUCAUAUAACCCCUACAGUCUGCAUAUUAACGCGAAAAAAGAUUCUACACAGACACAGCCUGAUUUCCUGCAAGAGCAAUUAAAGAAAGGGUUUUCAUGCUCUUGAGAGGGGUACAUGAUUGGAAAAACAAAACCACGUGCUACCUUUUUACUGACGAUCACCAUUAUCAACUUCAAGGAUUUAGUAGUCUGCCUAAUCCAGCUGUACUUGAAAAAUUGGCCAUCUUUUAAAUUACCUUUACAGUGUAAAGGUUCUAUUGUGGGAAAAGUUCUAGUAAGACAGGGACUUCAAAGGCUGCUUAUCCUCCAGCCCCCUUCUAACUAGUGUCAAAAUCUUAAAACAAAAUCUUCUGAAUCUUAAUCAUUUGAGCCAUGCCAAUUCAACAAGGAGAUUCAAUUUGUGGUAGAGGUAGUAAUGAUUUCUUUCCGGUGAAGCCCAUUUCUUGAAAAUCGUCUGCUAGGGCACACUAUCUGUUGUCAAAUAUCUACCAAGAUGACAGCUGGUGUUAACCUACACCUUGAUCAUUCCUAUGUUCACAUAUAAGUUCAGGUACAGCAAGGAGCUUUUGGAUAUGGUAUUGGAAGAUAAUUCCUGGUAGAUUGAUCAUGGAAGCAGCACUUGACCCCUUUUAAUAAUAAGACUGGAUAGACCACCCUAAUUUAAGACAUAACUAAGAAUUCUGCUCGGGGGUUAAUACUGCCAUCAUGACAUAUUGCACUCAUUUUCAUAGCACACUCUUCCAAUGGUACACAAAUCCAGGAACAGAAAAUCUCGUCUAGAGCUGCUUUACGAUCUUCAAGUGGGGUAACUAUGACGCAGCUGUAAUUUUAUUUUUUUUGUACAACUGUAAUUAAUCAUUUACAGAACAUCAAAUUUAAUUACUCCUUACUGUACCAGACAUCAUAGUUUAUGACCAUCAACUUCAAGGCCUCCAAAACAACAAUAGCUUAUAAUUUUAUCCCUGAUAGCAUAUUGUCGAACAAAAUUGUUAAUGGUAGGAAGCAACAAAUAUAAAAACGACGCCUUGUGGCAAUCUCAAGGAAGUAACUCUAAAUUGAAGUUACACAAUCUUAAGGGUACAUAUGGAUCUAAUUCCCAGACCACAAGGAGGGGGACGGCUCAAUUUAAAUCUAAGUAGCACCCAUUACAUCUAGGCUUGGUUUCCUAUUGAUUUCACAGCUAGUUUUAUCAAGCAUGCAGAAAUAUCCAUUAGUUUCUCCUAUGAUAAUCCAAAACCAUGUAUUAAAAUAUAAUUUCCUGUUAGCAGUUUUGGCAAAGGGAAGCGGCAAUGCUGAGGCAACAACUACAGAACUUGCAAGAGAAUCACCGGUAAACUCUCUUGUCAUAUGUUAGAUAUAUUUCUUACUUCCACAAAUAACUUAUUCAAUGAUCUAUAGCACAAACACAGGGACUCUUGUCUCCAUUGUAAGUUUUAAGACAUUAAAGUAAAAAUUACUCCCUUCAUUCACUUUUACUUGUCACAUUUGGAAUUAGCACACCCAAUAAGAAAACAAUAAUUGACAUGGCUAUUUUACCACACUACCCUAUUAAUUGAUGUUUAGUAUUAAGUGUUGAAAAAUGAUCUGGGAAUAUGUAAUCAAUGCUAAGGGGAAGACAUGGAAAAAAUUUAUUGUCUUUUCUUGAUAUGUUAAAGGUGAAGAGUAAAAGUAGGUUUGGGGGUUUCACAUGAAUCCCUAUUAAUUGAUGUUUAGUAUUAGGUCUUGGAAAUGGUGUUAUCCACUUUAAUGUUGAGGGACUAGGAAUUAGAGAUUUUAGAAUGUUCAUAAACUCUACCAGGAAAGUUGGUUUGGGGUUUCACAUGGAACUCAACCGUUGUGGGCAUCGACAAGUAUGCUAUUAAAUGGGAUAAUGAGGACCAAUCAUAUUGAGCAUCUCUUUAGAGGAUAUUGGGAAAAUGUGGAGAGAUCCUAUCUAAGUGAAAAUUUAUAUAUACUUUUUUGAAAACUACCCAUCAAAGCGACAAAUUUAAAAGGGGAGAGGGGUUUUGUUGUGUGUGUGUGUGGGAGGGGGGGAGGGGGGCUAGGCUAUUGAAACUAGAAUCAAUGUCUUGAAAUAGAGAGGGUAGAGUCGUUGAUUGUGUUAAGUUUUCUGAUCAUUUUUAAUACUUUCAACCAACAGAUAUUAACAGUUGUCGACAAUUUUUUUAUUUUCUGAAAUGGUAACAUAAUAAUUGUCCACAAUUAUAGAGAAUGGGGGAGAAUUUUAUAGGACCUAUUGCUUGGAUCACCAUACAUGCAAAGAAAAUACAGAAAUACUCCCAAUUCACAUUAUUUUGUAGUUAUUACUACUCGUUUCUGUAUUUUCUUUUUUCAAACUACUUGGAAAUGCUUUGUUUUAAGCGGAGGGUCUAUCGGAAACAGUCUCUCUAGCUCUAACGAGGUAGGAGUAAGGUCUGGUUACACUCUACCCUCCCUAGACCUCAAAUGUGGGAUUACAUUGGGCAUGUUGUUUUUGUUGUUCUUUCUUUAGGUAGGAAUUUUCCCAUAACAUUAGUAUACGUUGAUUUCAUCAACAAUGUUCCUAGGCAAAAUAAAAUAUCUCCUCCAUUGCACUACUUAAAAUAUUUAACUAUUGUGAUCUUUUGGAUCGAUGGUGUUAUUUCUUUUUAUUUUUUGGGGGUUGGGGGGAAUAAAGGUAAUAUUUGAGGGUUUUACUUUUCUGUCUUUAAAUGGAUGGAGUGAGGAAAUAGAGAAAUGUGUAUUAAUUGACACUAAUUCCCGUGAUAGCUAUUUUGUUCAUAAUCCUGAGCUUUCUUUUGACACUACAGAAGUUCCGUUAAAACAUGUCCUGUUUUUCUUCGUUUCACUCGCUUUUUGACAGAACAUUUUGUUAACGAACUUAACUCUCCUUUCUCUGCUUCUCCCUUCCUGUCCCUCAAAACCCUUGAAGAACAAAAAAAAUUGAAUGUACCUCCUCUUCUCUCCUCUCAUUUCUAUCUGUCUUUCAAUUCUAUAGCUCUAUCAGAACCCAACACCCACACCCCAGUUUUCUUUUUCUAUGUUCAGUGGGCAGUAGAAAGAGAGAAAAGGAUAGUUCUAGUAGUGAUACAAAAGGUGUCUCAUCAAGGAUGCCGUUUGGAAUGUUCCUUCAAUAUCUUCAACAGUAUAGGCAUCCUAAGCCAACCACAAGAAAAUGCAUGAAACUAAGAACUAAACUAUCACCACCUUGCUGGAAAAAAGCAAGUGACACUAGAUAGCUUGUAACAUCAGUUCACAAAAUAGAAUAUGACAGAGAUAUCUGCUCUAGGUUAUCCUUAAAAAGAUUAUAUCUGUAAGUGCUGACAGAAAGGAUACUCAGAUUAUUUCAAGCUACUGGUUUUACAAUCAAAAGGAAGAGGCACUCAGGACCAUGGUUGUAACCCUUCAGAUCAGGGUUUUGAAGGAUCAAACAACAUUCGGUCUCUCUUAUGAAUUAAAGUAUUAGCAUGGACUUCUAGGGUGUGUCUGGUAUGGAGGAAAACAUUUUCUAGUAGAAGUGGCUUCUUGUUUAUUUUCUUGUGUUCGGUAUGCAAGUAAAAAUUUAUAAUCCUAAAAGUAUUUCUAUAUAUAUCUAAGACAAAACUAUGACUCUAUGAGGGUGGGGGUGGAGGAAUUCAGGGGUGGGCUGGGUGGUUGUGAGGAGACAAUGUGAUUUGUUUUACCUACUUUCAUUAGGAAAGUUAUUUUCCAUAUUAUUUUUAUUAUGACAAGGGAAAGCCGCAGUCGUUACCCUUUGGGCGCGCACAGGGUAAAACCCCCGCUCCUAUGCAAUAGCUCGCAAACCACAUAGGAGAGGUAACCCGCACUAGGCAAGCCCGGUGCGAUGAGCUCGAUCUAGAAGGCAAACCCCUUGCUUUCGCUGGCAAGGGGUUUCGAACUUGAGACCUCCAACAUGGAAGUCCUAAGCCCAAACCACUGGCCAACCCCAAAGGGUCAUUUUCCAUAUUUUCAAGGAGAUUGUUUUCCUAAAGAAAAUAUUUCUCAAAAUUUUUGGUCAACUGAACUGCAGUGAAUCAUGCAAUUCACUGGAGGAUUCUGUAAAGAUGUCUUCACUAUAUAAUCCCAGCAAGCAACUCAAUGUUGGGGAGUGAAAAUUCAAUAAUAAGCACACCUCAAAUGGUGUUAUAGAUUUCUUCCAGAGCUCCAUCAAACUGUUUAACAUCAACCCCCACCCACACCCANNNNNNNNNNNNNNNNNNNNNNNNNNNNNNNNNNNNNNNNNNNNNNNNNNNNNNNNNNNNNNNNNNNNNNNNNNNNNNNNNNNNNNNNNNNNNNNNNNNNNNNNNNNNNNNNNNNNNNNNNNNNNNNNNNNNNNNNNNNNNNNNNNNNNNNNNNNNNNNNNNNNNNNNNNNNNNNNNNNNNNNNNNNNNNNNNNNNNNNNNNNNNNNNNNNNNNNNNNNNNNNNNNNNNNNNNNNNNNNNNNNNNNNNNNNNNNNNNNNNNNNNNNNNNNNNNNNNNNNNNNNNNNNNNNNNNNNNNNNNNNNNNNNNNNNNNNNNNNNNNNNNNNNNNNNNNNNNNNNNNNNNNNNNNNNNNNNNNNNNNNNNNNNNNNNNNNNNNNNNNNNNNNNNNNNNNNNNNNNNNNNNNNNNNNNNNNNNNNNNNNNNNNNNNNNNNNNNNNNNNNNNNNNNNNNNNNNNNNNNNNNNNNNNNNNNNNNNNNNNNNNNNNNNNNNNNNNNNNCACCCCCCCCCCCCCCCCCCCCCCAAGAAACGAGAAGUCACAGUUGUUUAAAACAGGAUGUAUAAGUCACAUACAGUCAACUGUCAAUUUCUCUGUUGGAAUCACAUGUUUCUUAACAGUUUAUUUCUGCAAUAUAGACAAAUGAUGGGUGAAGAGCUUUCUGGUCUGAGCGUCAAAGAUUUGCAGAACUUGGAGAACCAACUGGAAACGAGUCUCCAUGGUGUUCGUGUAAGAAAGGUAUGAAAUUUCCAGAUCCAACAAAUGUUCACUAUAUUAAUUAAAUAAAAACUAACUCUACCCCCACAUGUCUACAGGACGAAAUUCUGAUUGAUGAGAUACAAGAACUAAACCGAAAGGUCAAUCAACAUAAAAUGCAGAGACUCUUAUCAAUUUAUUCUAAUCUAAAAAGUAUAACUUCUCAAGAUACUAAAUUAAUAUUUUUCCUUGCAGGGAAACCUCAUUCAUCAGGAAAACAUGGACCUAUAUAAGAAGGUAAACCUAAUUCGUCAAGAAAAUAUGAAAUUGUGUAAGAAGGUAUCAAUGUACAUCACUAAAAGCUUUCACAUGCUUCAAGAUCAAUUAUUUCCUUUUGUUUUCUUAUACCAAGUGAAAGAGUCAACCAUUCUUCUUAGAACUCUGGCAAAUUGUUUCUACAUUGUGUUAAACUACAGGUUUAUGGAAAUAGAGAUGCAAAUGGAGUGAGCAGAAGUCCCCUUGUUGCGAACAGUUUAAGCAUCAAUGAGGACCUUCAUGCUCCUGUUCAUCUCCAGCUUAGCCAGCCACAGCAACAGAACUAUGAGGCAUCGGGAACUACCGAAUUGGGGUAAUUUCUUGCUCAUAUGCUUCAUCUGGAAGCACAAUGGUAAUUCACUAACCUGAUCAUUGACUAUCGUCUUACUGGAAAAUGCUGCAGGCUACAACUGCAUUCGCAGUGAAAACCAGCCUCGUAAGAGUUUUCUGUUCUCAUGUUGAAGAAGCAGCUGUGCUUACAGAGCUAUGUUUUAACUUUUAAUGGUAGUAAUGAUAUAGAACCCAGAGAUGUCAGGAAAAAAUCUUCAGUUCACAAGGUUUAUGACAUCAAGUUUGACAAGUGUGAGGUAAUCCUUAGCACAACUACUUAAAGUAAGAUAACAACAAAUAAAGGAAUACAUUGGCACAGUAUCUCUACAUAUCUUUAUCUUUCUUCGCACUUCAUGCUUAUGAUGUGUAUGCCCUGUAUACUAGGAUUGUACUUGAUGACGUUUUCAAAUAGCUAUAAAUAGUUGACUACUUAAAACAGGGGUGGGAGCAAAGAAAUGCAAUCAGAAAAAGGAUAUACAUAACAGUAACUCCUCAAAGAAAUUCCUUGAGAAACACACCACAAGCAAACAGUACAAAGCAGAGCUAAGAAACUUAAUAAAGUAAGCCAUACCGCAUUGUUGCAUCAAUAUGCUUUGCGUGCAAUAGUCUUUAGCAAGGGACAGAUUAAAUUCAUUUCACACCAGUGUCGAACUUCAAAUUCAAGUGCUAAACAAAAAAGAUACAACAAGCAUUUGUAUUAGUAAUGCUCUUCCCAGAAAUUUUAGAAUGGAUGAUCAAAUAAUAUAUGAAGCAACAACAACAACAAUAUACCUAGUGCAAUCCCACAGGUGAGGUCCGGGUCGGUAGACUGUACGCAGACGUUAUCUCUAUCUCAUGGAGGUAGAGAGGCUGUUUCCAAAAGACACUCGCGCUCAAGUAACAGAUAAUAUAUGGAGCAUGCUCCACAAACAGUCUUUUCUGCCGAAGACAGUAAGUACUUCUUAAACAAGCUAUUUCUGGAUCACAAGGAUUCCAAUGGUAAACCUACACGAAUGCAUGCACUAUCAACAACCAAAUUUUCUAUACUACAGAAGACAGACUCUCAUCAAAUGACCUAUUUGUACAGCAAUGGAUUGCAUACUAAAUUAACAUGGAAGAAACAUGUUUAGGUCAUGAUGUGUGUGAGCAUAAAGUCCAUCGUAGGCAAAACUUCGUAUUACUUUGGAGAGUACACAUAAACAGAACAUGUCAUCUAAAAGGAGUAAAGUCUUCACCACGAAGGAUUAUUCAUCUUCUAUCAGGAGAUAGUUUACAAGAACGUAAAUGAAGGAAUAACUGUUACCAUUGACAAAAAAAGUGAAUGAAGGGCUAUUAGGUAGUGAAUAGGACUAGGACAUUAAUAAGGCAUAAACUCCAUGGAAGUUAUCAAACUUUAGUGCGUCAGGUACUAUGUAUUGACAAGGUAAAUGGAAUUUAUAAAACUAGAAAUUUGAAUCUAAUUGAACAGCAAAACUGCAAGCAUGCUAUGUUAUACUACAAAAGAAUAUGAUACCAUUAAUUUAGGAAUUCUGGAAAACUGUAAAAGAGAAGAUUUGUUUUAGAUUUUAGUGGAAUAAUCAGAGCACGAUAGAGCAUCUUCUACAAUGCCAAUACUUAAACCGAUUGGAACAUUUAUUACAACCAAUGCUCAAUAACAGCAGCAGCAGCCAUUUCAAACAGUGAGAAUACAAGACAUAAUUUAACAAUGUCCUUUGUGUCAAGAUUCUCAGUUCAAGACAAAUAGACACAAAAGAGGGGGAGAUUAGGUUCCAUUUUGACUAGCACCUGGAUAACAAUGAAGAUGAUUCUCACAUCUCCAUGUGGUGCAGUAAGGUUCUUAAAGUUGCAUGAACGAACAAAUUCUGAGGAAACUGGCCUGACUCAAGAGAAAAAAUGGAUCAUCUAGAGUUACUGCAGUAGUAUGUCUGCUAAAUAACAAUUUUCAUCAACGUAGUAAAAAGAUCAAAAAAUUUCCAAACAAGUUGGACAAGGAUAGCGUCUUCCACACAGCAAAGAUCUAUAACACCACAUUUGAGUGAGAUGACAUGGUACUCUCUCAAACACCAAAUUGUCUUUUAGCAACAUAAUAUGUCCAAUCCAAGUAAAUAAAACUACAGAAAGGUAAAUAUGCUAGUCGGCACUGUUACAACCACAGCAUUAAUAAGUUACCCUAUUGAUGGGACAGGCCUGGAAAUAGUGUUACUUAAUUUAUCUCUAAACAUCAUUUGUACUGCCUAAAGUUCCAGUUUGAGGUGUCCUUGCAAUAUAGUAUGAGGUGAUUCCAAGCUUUCUUUCCCCAUUUUUUUAAAAUUUCACAAACUCUUUUUAACUUUAUAAACGGUUUAACCUUCUACAACCAUUCCAAAAAUGUGACAUUGCUUUAAGGUAGGUGAACCAUAAACCUUUACAUGCCUACAAUACCCAAAAUCUCGAUGACUCUUGGGUGUCCCAGAUCACACACCUCUUUAUUCAAGAGUUUAUGGAAGUAUGUCUGCCAUCUACACCUAAUAAGAGUCCCAUCCACCAAUACCGUGUCAUCCUCAUCUUUGAUGCACUUCACUUGCUCCAAGUCACAAGUCUUCUCCUCUCUCACCUUGGUUGUCGUGUACAACUGCUUGUCCCAGCCUAUGUCCCCAAGUUCUUCAUACAGACGUCCAAAACCCCUGCAGUCUUUGCUGCCUUAACUGCUAAUUUCACCUCCUUCCUCACUUUCUUAUACUCCUCCUUGUUCAUCCUCUUCUCCUCAUUGUCUUUUCUUUCUACUAUCUUCACAUAUGCUGCUUUCUUGGCGUCCACUUUUCCUUGGACCUCUUCAUUCCACCACCAAUCCUCUUUUGUGUCCACUGGAGUAACCCUUCAAGAUCUCUAGCACCGCUCUAGCUGCUCCCUUAAUGUAAGUCACAGUCAUCGACCACAUGCUACUCGUGUCCCCACUGCUCCUCCAGGUCCCCAUUGCUAUCAACAUCUCCACAACUCCUAAGUAUUAUCCUAAGUCAACGCACCCCACUUGAUCUGCCUUGAUCUUUGGGUGACCAUACACGACACUUUUCUCCUCUUCCUCGUUAUUACGAUGUCUAUCAUAACCAUCUUAUUUUGCUUAUAAGUCAUAUUCACAGUUAAGUCAUGUGAAUCUAUUGUAUAAACAAUAUGGUAACAAGUCAACUUUAUUGCAUUAACAAGACUAACUAUAACUGAAUUAUAUCAGUAACAGAAGUAUCAAAUUUGUUUCUUUUAUCCCUCUGAACCUAAAACUUCCUCUGACACAUUAACAAAAGGGUCCUCUAAACCUAAUACUUACUCUGUCACAUUUACCUAAGGGGAUACUAUUACUUUUUGGGGAGUCAGAGGUUUUUCUUUUACGACAAGCUUUUAUAAAAAAUUACUAAAUAUUUUGAUCUAUUAAUUUUUGUGACCAACCGCACUUGUUUCACAAUUUUCACUAUGUAAAAUUUAUGUCAAAUUCUUGAUGAAUCUAUGUCUAAAUCCACACUGAAAAUUAGGUAUUUUGACCCUCAUACUAUAAAGCAGAGGAAGUGUUAUACAAUAUAUAAGAUCACUUGGAACUUCUAUGAUGCACUUUACAAGGAUGUGAUUAAAUGAAUGCACUAAAGCUUUCCAUCACAUCCAGAACUAUCUGUGGAAUGGAAACUGGACUAGCUCAACUAGGACCAACUGAUCCGUCAUUUACCAAAACGCUAACAUAGCUCACUAGCCACCAAAUCUAUGAGGUAGAAAUCCAUCUCAAAAUGAGACUAGGUUUAACACAACAAAAACAAAGUAUUAUUGAAAUCUUGAAACUCACCAGUUGCAUAAACAACUGAAUUUUCUAUUUGCCAACCAUUAUCUAAUUUUAUAAAAACAAGAGUCUCAAUAACUUAUGGUUUAUGGUUUUUAAAGAUGAGGAAUAUUUAUAUGUUCCAAUAAUUAAUAUUUUACAGGUUACUUUAAGUUAUGUCUUACGUUAUUAUUAAUCUACAACCAUUUCAUUUGACCAACAGCCAAAUCAAAUUUCAAGUAAGACUUUAUAUUUUUUUGACUUUAAUGAGAAAAAUUGUUCUUUUCUUAAUGUUUCAAAUUAUUACUAAUUAUUUUCAAUAAUAUCUCAAGCAACAAAUUAUAAGAACAUUCUGCCCUAACCUUCACAAAAGUAAACCUAGGUCAGUAACCAAAAUAGGAGGCAACAUAAGAAAGUAUUUUGGUAGAAGCAGUUACUGUAAUGUGAUAACUUUCAAGCGAAAGGUUGCUAGUGAGCUAAAGACAAAUACAGCAAAUAUAGAAUGAUCACUUAAACUUUAAAAUUCAUCAAGCUGAGAGAUAUAAGCUUCAUGAUUAAUCCUUCUUGUUCCAAAAAUAAAGCUUUGAGGAGUUAUCCAUGUGUGUACAGUGUCAUAUCAGUCCAUACACUAACAAGUAUUUUGAAAUUACAGGUGAACAACAGUUUGAACCUGUGCGUGGUAGAUUCAUAAAUCACUGUCUUAAUCCAUAUGGCUACAUCCACUCCCUCACCUUCUUAAGUUCCACUUUUACAGAUUUAAAUUGGAAACAAAAUAUUCAAGUCAAAUAUCUAUCAUCUUUCUUAUUUCAAUGAUGUUCUUAUUCAAAAUUAUGAUUAAAAUAUAAAGUAAAAAUAACCAAAAAAAGAAAAUAUAGCAGCAAGAAGAGGUAAAAUCAAAAUACAUUACUCAUAAGCUAAUCUUUUCUCCUUUUCAGAAAAACAAAUGCGCCCACUCAGGCUUUGGGGAGGGUAGAAUGUACGCAGACCUAACAACUAUCUCGUGGAGGUAGAGAGGUAAUUUCCGAAAGACUCACAGCUCAAGUGCAACAAAUCUAGGUACAAAUAAGACACAGACAAUGACAACAAAAAUAGUACGACAGUUGAAAUAUCAAAACAAGAACUACAAUAAUACUAGUAUAAGAAUACUAGUUGGUAAAAUAUCUUUUCUUUCCUAAGCAAUAUAUAAGAUCCAAUACAGUGUACAACGAUCAUCCUUCAAUCCUACAACUCUUUAUUCUAUCCCUCAAUAUGGACAAUUCCCUAAACUUUAAUCUUAAAAGCAUAUGCCUAAACUAAAGGAAUCAUUUACGCAAGAUGAAUUUUCAUUUCUCUCGAAAAAAAUCCUCAAUUUAUGUUAGUACAAUGCUGAAAUACAAAAGAAGUAGAUUAGGUAGCCAAUCCAUUUCACGCAGUAAAUUGCUUGUAAUAUGAUCACUAAACAAUUUUAGAGGGACAAAGCUAGUUAACAAUAAUAUAUUCCAGAGAAAUGUGUAACAGUUAACAUGAUGUUACAAGAUUUCAAUUAGGUCGCCAAGUGGUAUUUCAGUUCAACUUCUACUGUAGGCCAUUAAACUGGUAAAUCAAUCAUUUUCUUGCUGAUAAUGUGAUAGCUAUCUGUAUUUUACAUGAUGUUGUAUAGAUCACUUAAGAUCAAAAAUACAAAAUGAUAACAAAAGUAACAGGAGGUAAUCAUAACACAGUUCGCGGGAGAAGCCAUAAGAUGUACAGCAGCACUAAGAUUAUAUCACACAGAUAGAAAGCAUAUUUGACCUCUAAUAUACACAAUUACAUAAAGUAAAUGCUAUAUGUAUUCCGUCAUACUAUUCUAUGAACUACUAUGAUAAAUUGGUGCCGAAAAAGAAAAAAUGCAAAAGAAACAAACAGAAGAAAAGUGUACAUGCAAUAACAAAUCUGAAGCCAGCACAGAUUUCACCGAGAAACAUUAAAGUAAUUUUCUUUAACUCAAGUACAGAAGCAAAAUUGUUUGCCAACAGUACUUCAAAGUGUAACAUCAAAUCCAAGACAAUAUGCUUCCUAGUAAAGAAAAGAAUCGUGAAGAAAAGAAACUCCAAUAACUCGCAAGGAAAGAUUUGUGAACCAGAAAAAAAAAAAAACUAAGAAAAUACGAAACUAAAUGAAACGUAUAUUUAAUUAAGUAUGAAGAGAACAACAUUACGCACCUGAAAAACGAAGCAACGGCAUUUCCACAAUGCUGUGAGUGUAAUUGCAUACCACAUCUAUUAUAAACUUGUGAUCAGGAAAAAGUUCUGCAAGGGAAUUGAAAAAGGCAAAACAAAAAAUGAUUCCGAUCAGCAAGCUGCGAGAUAAAAUAUUCAAUAAAGAAUAAAAGGAAACGUAUCGGAAAACGCAGUUAGUUUAGAAGCAAAGGUGAAAAUUGAGUUUAGCUUUCAACAAAGAUAAGCAUAUGAUAUUAAAUAUUAUUUUUUCUUCUUUCUCAGGAACCAAAAAGAAAAAAACUGUGAAUUGAACCACCGCCAUGAGAGGAAAGAACAAACAUUGCGAGUUCAUCCUGGAGUGAUCGAUCGAAAAGUUUAUCGGACAAUUCGAGGAGAAGAUGAAGAAAGAAUUGAAAGAAGAGAAUUCGAUUUGUGUUCGAAACAGUAGGUUUCACAUAGAAUAGAGAGAGGAAAUGAAUAGAGACGGGAAAAACAAUAUAUGCGUGAGCUGUGAAGGAUAAAAAGGACGGGGAAAUUGGGAUGAGAAACCCGAAGCAGAGUGGGGCAGGGGGUUGAGAAAAUUCUGGGGACUGCUGCUGUUUCCUGGUGGCGCCCCAAUGGUGAUUAUUUUAUGGCGUUAUUAUAUGCUUUUCUGGGGACUUCUUGUUUUAU